rnacentral:rRNA from 1 species
AUUGAACGCUGGCGGCAUGCUUUACACAUGCAAGUCGAACGGCAGCGCGGGCUUCGGCCUGGCGGCGAGUGGCGAACGGGUGAGUAAUACAUCGGAACGUGCCCAGUAGUGGGGGAUAGCUCGGCGAAAGCCGGAUUAAUACCGCAUACGACCUGAGGGUGAAAGCGGGGGAUCUUCGGACCUCGCGCUAUUGGAGCGGCCGAUGGCAGAUUAGCUAGUUGGUGGGGUAAAGGCCUACCAAGGCGACGAUCUGUAGCUGGUCUGAGAGGACGACCAGCCACACUGGGGCUGGAACACGGCCCAGGCUCCUACGGGAGGCAGCAGUGGGGAAUUUUGGGCAAUGGGCGAAAGCCUGAUCCAGCAAUGCCGCGUGUGUGAUGGAGGCCUUCGGGUUGUAAAGCACUUUUGGCGGGAACGAAAAGGACUGUGCCAAUACCACGGUUCGAUGACGGUACCCGCAGAAUAAGCACCGGCUAACUACGUG